GGGAUUGGGAUUCAAUAUCGAGUAUGGUUCAGAUCGGAUCCAAUCAAGUUAUUAAGCAUAAGGUCCAAAUUAUUCCAUAGAAUAAAAUGGAUCUGAGCUGGCUUCGAAUUUAAUAAAUUUAGAUAUAACUCAAAAAAUGGAACUGACUCAAUUUUUAGAAUCCAAUCUGGUCUUGUGGAUCCUUUAUCGUAGGUUGAAUCAUAUUUAAGAAGAUUGGAUCUGAUCAUGGGUCGGUGGGUCAAUCCAACCCAUUUGCAGCCACAGGGACAAUAGAAUUAAUCCUUGUUAAAAUGGGUGCUCUGUGAGACAAU
rnacentral:lncRNA from 1 species